rnacentral:lncRNA from 1 species
ACGGUUUUUCAACCGUUAUCAACUAUCAUCAUCAUAGAGUCAGUAAAAAUCUCAUACAGAAAGUCACAUAAUGAAACCAACCAUUUAAAAUCAGAUUCAAUGUUUCGAUUUCUUGAGUCUUAGAAUAAUGCAAGAGAGGGUAUAUCCAUCAAAUUUCACCCUUGAACCAGCUACCCCAACAAAAACUUCAUGCACACUUUUGGACUCGAGAAGGCUCUCCACGACAAAGGAGAAUUAAUCCUCCAUCAAGCAUCCAUAAGGCACAAAAGGGCACCAUCCUCCCUCACCUCCAACAUCAGAUCCAGGAUUCACCUCUAACGGUUCACCAUUGCCUCCAACACCAUCCAUCUUCAUCAGAGGCCUACCAUUCAUCAACCCCAACAUCACGAGUUCAUCCCUGCAACCAUCACACACAACCAGAGACUCCUUCCUCAUUUUUAGUUUUCUAACAGCAAAAAAUUCCAUCACGCUCACAUGGCUCUACAUUAAGUCAAUAGAAAAAACCCAUAUUAACCUAGCACCAUAGUUCACAAACACAGAGCACGAACAAUAUCAGAUGACCUCCACCGUUUUCAUUCACUGAAAUCUUCCAUCUUCGCGCAAGCAUUUUUCUUAGCCCUUGGCCCGUGAUAGUGAUUCACAUUUGAAACCGAUUCUUCCAUCAUCCAUCAUUCACCUCUCACACUUCCCCCAAUUCUUACUCACAUACUACUCUCUAUCAACUCAACAGUAUCACCGUCUUUGGAACCAACCUCCUCCAUCACAGAAACACCAAACAAAAGAAACAAUAGAGAAACUUUUACCUCCUUCUUCCAUUUUCAUCACCCAACAACAUCAUCUCGUUACUUGCAAAUCCAACAAAACAACCACAAUUAUCCUCACCCACUCUCACGACACUGUCAUCACCAAAGCCCCAAAAAUCACCAUCUUCAUUGUUAAUAUCUGAUCAGAACAGAGAUAGGAGAAGAAAGGAGAUGGCGUCGCCCACACCUACUUCA